rnacentral:lncRNA from 1 species
GACUAAAUCUCUAGCUUGAAAGAUCUUAGACUUGAAUUGAAAGUUGUAGUACCGAGCUAUCCUUUGCUGAUAGGAAGCCAUCCUCAGUUGGGCUUAUCUCUGGAUCUCAUCGAGCAAGUCCAGAUCAGCCCAUCGCUUGUUUGAAUUGAUCCAUUCGUCGUAGUGCUCUAUCCGAGUCGAAGGCAGGCCGAUUUCAAUCGGGAUCACAGCUUCCAUCCCAAAUGCCAGUUUGAAGGGGAUCUCUCCAGUUGGGAUCCGAGGAGUUGUUUGGUAAGAUCAUAGGAUGCUGGGGAGUUCGUCAGUCCAACAUCCUUUGGCUUGAUCGAUUCUUAUCUUCAGGUCUUGUAAAAU